rnacentral:lncRNA from 1 species
CACGUUACAAAAGCUUAAGCAAAGCGUGCAUGAUAUCAGAACAUAUAAACGAAAACAAACCUAAUGAAGCUACCAACGUACCAACAAUAUUAUCUUGAGCUUCUUCCAACAUCCUACAGUACACACUGAGGUUUAGUGCCCCGCCACUGGCCAUCCCUCCGAGAACAAAGCUCAUGCUCUUCCCACCAAAAUUGGAAUUCAAAUUUUCAACCAUUGCCAACUCACUAAGAUCGACAUGAAACGUGCCA